GCCCAGAUGGGAUUAGCUAGUAGGUGGGGUAAAGGCUCACCUAGGCGACGAUCCCUAGCUGGUCUGAGAGGAUGACCAGCCACACUGGAACUGAGACACGGUCCAGACUCCUACGGGAGGCAGCAGUGGGGAAUAUUGCACAAUGGGCGCAAGCCUGAUGCAGCCAUGCCGCGUGUAUGAAGAAGGCCUUCGGGUUGUAAAGUACUUUCAGCGGGGAGGAAGGGAGUAAAGUUAAUACCUUUGCUCAUUGACGUUACCCGCAGAAGAAGCACCGGCUAACUCCGUGCCAGCAGCCGCGGUAAUACGGAGGGUGCAAGCGUUAAUCGGAAUUACUGGGCGUAAAGCGCACGCAGGCGGUUUGUUAAGUCAGAUGUGAAAUCCCCGGGCUCAACCUGGGAACUGCAUCUGAUACUGGCAAGCUUGAGUCUCGUAGAGGGGGGUAGAAUUCCAGGUGUAGCGGUGAA
rnacentral:rRNA from 1 species